CAGCAUGUUACCAAGAUCUGUAGCUAAUAGUGGCGAUGGAAUCUCCAACUGCAUGCUAAAGCAACCUGGAGAGUCUUUGACAGCACAGACCACCAGUAUGUGUAGCUGUCACUCACCUUUCCUAUAAAA